rnacentral:rRNA from 1 species
UACGUAGGUCCCGAGUGUUGUCCGGAUUUAUUGGGCGUAAAGCGAGCGCAGGUGGUUUAUUAAGUCUGGUGUAAAAGGCAGUGGCUCAACCAUUGUAUGCAUUGGAAACUGGUAGACUUGAGUGCAGGAGAGGAGAGUGGAAUUCCAUGUGUAGCGGUGAAAUGCGUAGAUAUAUGGAGGAACACCAGUGGCGAAGGCGGAUUGCUGGACAGUAACUGACGCUGAGGCGCGAAAGCGUGGGGAGCAAACAGG